GCCCGGUUAGCUCAAUCGGUAGAGCGUGAGACUCUUACCACAACACCGUAAUCUCAAGGUUGCGGGUUCGACCCCCGCAUCGGGCU